rnacentral:tRNA from 1 species
CGAGCAUCUGGCUGAGGAUAUCGAGGCUGGCGCGCGUGGCGGCGCGGCGCGUUGCGAAGGCAGCGGCGAGCUGUCGUUCGUACUCGGCGAUUCGCGC